CAAGACACAAGGCAGCAAAGUUCUUCGUGUUACUCAUGCAUGAGGGAGACCUGCCUGGAGCCAAGUGUCGUUCCACCCACUUGACCUCCGCCAGACUCUCAGCC